rnacentral:rRNA from 1 species
AGCGUAUAUUAAGUUGUUGCAGUUAAAAAGCUCGUAGUUGAAUUUCGGGGUUAGUAGGUUGGUCAUGCCUCAGGUAUGUACUUAUCUCACUGAUUCCUCCCUCUUGACGAACUGUAAUGUCAUUAAUUUGGUGUUGCAGGAAAUCAGGACUGUUACUUUGAAAAAAUUAGAGUGUUUAAAGCAGGCUUAGGCUUGAAUACAUUAGCAUGGAAUAAUGAAAUAGGACGUUUGAACCUAUUUUGUUGGUUUCUAGGAUCGACGUAAUGAUUAAUAGGGAUAGUUGGGGGCAUUAGUAUUCAAUUGUCAGAGGUGAAAUUCUUGGAUUUAUUGAAGACUAACUACUGCGAAAGCAUUUGCCAAGGAUGUUUUCAUUAAUCAAGAACGAAAGUUAGGGGAUCGAAGACGAUCAGAUACCGUCGUAGUCUUAACCAUAAACUAUGCCGACUAGGGAUCGGAUGAUGUUAAUUUUUUAAUGACUCAUUC